UACGGAGGAUGCAAGCGUUAUCCGGAUUCACUGGGUUUAAAGGGUGCGUAGGUGGGUUGGUAAGUCAGUGGUGAAAUCCCCGAGCUUAACUUGGGAACUGCCAUUGAUACUAUCAGUCUUGAAUACCGUGGAGGUUAGCGGAAUAUGUCAUGUAGCGGUGAAAUGCUUAGAUAUGACAUAGAACACCUAUUGCGAAGGCAGCUUACUACGCAUAUAUUGACGCUGAGGCACGAAAGCGUGGGGAUCAAACAGG
rnacentral:rRNA from 1 species